AAACUGCGAAUGGCUCAUUAAAUCAGUUAUCGUUUAUUUGAUAGUACCUUACUACUUGGAUAACCGUGGUAAUUCUAGAGCUAAUACAUGCUAAAAACCCCGACUCCGGGAGGGGUGUAUUUAUUAGAUAAAAAACCAACGCCCUUCGGGGCUCCUUGGUGAUUCAUAAUAACUAAACGAAUCGCAUGGCCUUGCGCCGGCGAUGGUUCAUUCAAAUUUCUGCCCUAUCAACUUUCGAUGGUAGGAUAGUGGCCUACCAUGGUAUCAACGGGUAACGGGGAAUUAGGGUUCUAUUCCGGAGAGGGAGCCUGAGAAACGGCUACCACAUCCAAGGAAGGCAGCAGGCGCGCAAAUUACCCAAUCCCGACACGGGGAGGUAGUGACAAUAAAUACUGAUACAGGGCUCUUACGGGUCUUGUAAUUGGAAUGAGUACAAUUUAAAUCCCUUAACGAGGAACAAUUGGAGGGCAAGUCUGGUGCCAGCAGCCGCGGUAAUUCCAGCUCCAAUAGCGUAUAUUAAAGUUGUUGCAGUUAAAAAGCUCGUAGUUGAACCUUGGGCCUGGCUGGCCGGUCCGCCUCACCGCGUGCACUGGUCCGGCCGGGCCUUUCCUUCUGGGGAUCCGCAUGUCCUUUACUGGGUGUGUCGGGGAACCAGGACUUUUACUUUGAAAAAAUUAGAGUGUUCAAAGCAGGCCUUUGCUCGAAUACAUUAGCAUGGAAUAAUAGAAUAGGACGUGCGGUUCUAUUUUGUUGGUUUCUAGGACCGCCGUAAUGAUUAAUAGGGAUAGUCGGGGGCAUCAGUAUUCAAUUGUCAGAGGUGAAAUUCUUGGAUUUAUUGAAGACUAACUACUGCGAAAGCAUUUGCCAAGGAUGUUUUCAUUAAUCAGUGAACGAAAGUUAGGGGAUCGAAGACGAUCAGAUACCGUCGUAGUCUUAACCAUAAACUAUGCCGACUAGGGAUCGGGCGAUGUUACUAUUCUGACUCGCUCGGCACCUUACGAGAAAUCAAAGUCUUUGGGUCUGG
rnacentral:rRNA from 1 species